rnacentral:rRNA from 1 species
GACAUUUGGUAGAGACUGUUGAAGCCACCUGGUCCCAGCAGACCCCAGAAAACAGCCACAUUCGCUGUUGCUAAAACAAGGUCAUUAAGGGUGAAGCCUGGUGCCAGACGUGU